UGCGCUGGGCGGGGCUCCCGGGCGCGGGGGCGCGGGAGGGAAACUGAGGCCAGGCUGGGAAAGAGGCCUUGCUCCGAGGCAGCGCGGGAGCCCGCCGGCCCGGCAGGACCCUUCCCCGCCCAGCUUCGCUCGCUGGCUCCUGCGGGUCCGGCCCGGGGUGGCCUCAGAUUCCCCGACCUGCACCUGCGGCCCGUGGCCCCGGGCUCCCCUGCCCCCUGGGCCUCGGCUGUUCCCUCCGGGCGCCUGCCCAGCCGCGCCCCUGCCGGCCUUGCCCACUCUGCCGGCCGCACCUUCUCCUGAGCUCCUGUAGCCUUUCCUUACAGCCCAGGGCGCCCGCCCUCCCUCCAAAGCCCUCCAAAGCCCUCCAAAGCCCUAGGACGCCGCCUCCUCCGUGCAGCCUUCCUGCCUUCACCACCGGAUGGAACACUGGGGCCUGACUUCUCAUCUGUCCCAUCCCCUACGAGUCUCAGGUCCUCGUGUUUAAAGUGGGGACAAUGCCCUCGUUUGCGUUUGGGGACAAGCGACACGGAGCCAACAGCAGCGAGCAGCAGGCUGUCUGGGCGCAGGCCCCCCAGGCUGGCAGGCCGGCCGCGUGCAGCGCAUUCGGGAACCUGGGCCACCCUGUGGGCGGAGAUGCGGUGGUGACUGAGCAGCAGCCGCUGGCCUGGGUGCAGUGGAAGGAGGCCCACGAGGGCCGGCCCUGGCCCAGCGUGUGCAGUGACCACAGACCGAGUCCUGGGGCCUGGGACUGUCCACCCGGGGGACGGGCGGGCAGCCGAGGCUGGCGUGUGGGAACACAGCGGGGCGGCAGGCGCAGAGCUCGGGCCCGCACCAGGAACCCAGGCGCUCCCAGCCCCUGCAUCAGGGUGCAGCAUUCGCACGCUGCUUACUUUUAAAUAUCUGAGCUCGGUUCGCUCAUGCUCCCUUGCACAGGGAAGCACAAUUAUCAACCCCAUUUUGCCCACGAGGAAACCGAGGACACGCCUGCGCCGUAGCAAUGCCUAGUCCCGCUUCGCUGCUGAAUCACCCAGGAGGUAGGACCGACGUCGCAUGCCACCUGAUGAAGGAUCGAUGUGACCUCAGGACAGAGGCAUCACCGGGUCUCAGGCGCGGGAACCUGGAACCGCGGGUGGGACAGAGCAGGGUGCGGUGGGGAAGUGGCAAGGCCCCAACGAAAUUGGGCCUCUGAGCUUCUGGCCGGGGGGCCCAGCGGGGAUCUGCACUGCGUGUGGACGGCUCUGCUGGCUCUGCCCGCCCGCCAGGUGCUGACUCAGUGUCUGGCUGGCAGCCGCUGGCAGCUGGGAGGCUGGGCUGCGGCCAGAGCCCAUGUGGGGGGCCGUGUCCACCGAGCAGCGGCUCCCGGGGGCUCUCUCUGGGACCGGACCAGAAGGAAGUCGCUGGGUCCUUCAAGGUCAACCAGAGUCCCCUCCGGACCCCCCGCUCCAUGGUUUUCCCUCCUCUGUGCAUUCACAGCCACCCCACAAGUUCUGAGCUGGGUCUGGGUGUGGGAAGGGCUGUCCCUCUCUGUAUCCUUGGGGUGCUGUUUGUUAGGGUCGCUCCCACUGCCCACCCUAAGCCGGGUUAGGAUGGGCAGGAGCAGACUGAGCGUUCAUCCGCAGUAACAGCGGGAUGGAGUCUGCUGUCCGCCUGCACAUGAGUCUGGGGGAACGGGCUGGGGACUAGAGGCGGCCUGGGGGUUCCACGUGCGGAGGAUGUGCAGCAGGUGGCUAGACGCUGCCCAGGGCUGACACCUGAAGACAAGUGCUUCCUCAAGGACUUACGCCUCCAGGACCACGAGCAUCCUUGAGCAGCUGAGGGUUCGCCCUCCAACCGUGGCCCUUGGCCCUGCCCACCUGAAGUGGAUGCGCGGCGUGGGCUCUGUGCUACCCACCUUGGUGUGCCAGCGAGGUUCCUGGGGGGACCUCCCAUACGUGCCGGACCCUCACCAAAGCCCGGGAACAUUGACAUAAUCGUUAUCAGGCCUUGAGCCCUACCCCCCCAAUAUCAGUAAAUUAUUCAAAAAAGAAAUCCCACAGAUCAUCUUCGGAGUCCAAGGUAACAGAAAGCAGAGCGUCGCCCCAAGGACAAAAUGCUCAGCACCUUGGAAAUUAAAAAUGUAUUUGGUUAAAGGAGGAAGUAAAGGUGAAGCCGCACUCUAGUUGGAGAUGAAGGAGACGGUCUCUAU